GUCACUUUGCCGGAGUGGUUAACGGGAUCGCCUGCUACCUGAUCCAUGGUUUGCAUCUAGCGGUUGUGCUUUGCACGCGUGUGUUCGAAUCGCACAGGUGACG